rnacentral:lncRNA from 1 species
UGCAUACCAUCUGUGAGAAAACACUCCCUCUAACAAUGCUCAUUCACACCAACUUGGCCAUUACAAUAAAUGCCCACUUCCCCAGAGUGUUUCUCAAGCACUGAGAGACAACUUUCCCAUUUAUCCCCAAUCUUGUGUUCCCCUCCCCAUCGCCUGAUGUGAGGAGAGAAGGGUGGCGAGCAUUAGCCAUGCUAAACAGAUGCCUUUUGUGGACGAGACACCUGGCAGAGGAGGGGGUCCUGGCGUACCCUGCAUCCACCUAUUAAAUGCUAUACCCAAAUUAGCCCGUGGGAUUUCCUUGGCGAGUGAACAGCUCCCGUCGAAUGCAGACCAAAGUAAAUAAAAUAAUUAACAACUGGAAUAGGAGAGGAAGCCUGUUCGUUAUAACCUGCCUUUUCAUUACCAAAACUUUCACAAUGCUCAACAGGUAGCGGUAACUCUUGGCAACCCACUUAU